UGUAAUUGACCGAGAUGGAAUGUUUUCAUACUAACAAGGUUCUUGUGUUUACAGUAAAACCUGUCUAUAUGACAUUUUUUGUAUUAAUUGGAUAUUGAAAGACCUGGUCAGUCUCGUGCCAGUCUCGUGUCAGUCUCGUGUGUCUGACUGGAGGAAGUAUGACAUCACAUCUGUGAUGUAACAUUUCAAGGACGCGACAUUUAAGGGAAAUAGCAUAAUUAUAGUGCCUAGCGAUAUGAAGCAAGGUAAUGUCCUAUGGUAUUUCAUAGACGUGACAUAUCAUCGAUGUGACAUUUCAUAGACGUGACAUUUAAGUAAUGUAAAAUUUCAUUGACUAGCAAUAUAUGGCAAAGUAAUGCACUAACAUUACUAUGACGAGACAUAUCAGCGACGUGACAUUACAGUGACGUGACAUUACAGUGGCGUAGGUAUAUGUUGAAAAUGUGUUGUAAUUGUUUCAGUGCACCUGAUAUCACAAGAAGAAUAAACAAAUAGUUUCGCCCUUAUUAAAACAGAAGAAGUAUUCACAUUUACCAGGCUGAUAGAUGAUUAAAGUGUACUGUUGAUGAAAAACUGCAGUGGGAAACGUUAGCCUUUUUCACCACAACAAAAGUUCGUAUAUAUUAAUAGCUAGUGCAGUCAAGAUAUUCCUACGCCAAAUUUUUCUAUGCUUAUCAGUGUAAGAAAACAUCAUUAUUAAACAAUUAUAAGUAUUUAAAUAAUUUUAUGAUUCAUUUGUGCUACAGACAGUAUCGAUAUAUAAAUAACCUCGAUAAAUGUCUCCUGUCAUAAUAAUUACGAUUUAAAAAAAUUGUUAUAACCGUGACCUGGAUUGAGUUCAAGGAUUACAGUACAUAAACACUUACUUUCUUCAAGAACGAAAUACUCUAGGUGCCAAAUAUUCUCUGAUUGUUGAAGUGCUGCGAGCUGAUUAUAAUAAAAGCUGUAAACUGGAAUUGUGUCUUCUGUAAAAACUUUCAUUUCAUUUCAAGAUUUAGAGGAUGAAGCUGAUUCUUCUCAUUUCACUAUUGGCUGUAGUGUUGAUGUGUCUGGGUCAUGUAGACGCAGGUCGCCAACGUCUGUGUACUAAAAACGCUCAUGGAAAGUGUGUGGACAACGUGUUCUGGGCAAGAGGAAGGGGAAAUAAUCAAGGGAGAUUAAUAGCGUGUUCGUUACUGACACCAAGCCGAAGAUGUCAAAAUGUGGGCAGACAUUGCAGAUGUAGACUGCCGAGAGCGGACACCUUUGCAGCGGAGGGAGAAGCCGGUCGUUAUUGGGAUUAAGGACAUGAAAUAUAAACAUAAAAGUGUGUUGUGUAUAUUGGUAUAACUCAUGGAUAUAUCAUUAACACUUAUGAUUGGACAGAUCAGGACAAGGCAUAUUUUAUAAAAAAUCAAAAUAGCAUUUACUAUCUACAAACUUGUUCUAAAUUAUUAAUACAUGUAUUUAAGAACUGAUAAAAAGAAACGUCAUAUUUUAAAAAAUCAUGUGUUGUUUAAACUGAACUUAACUUCAAGCUUACGUAUUGUUUCGCUAUUGACGUAUGUAAAUUACAUGGCGGAGGAUAGUUUGUAUAAUUAUAAUAUAUUUAUCAUUAAAACGUAGUUGCCCUUUUAAAAAGAAAUUAAAUUGAUUGUAGUUUUAUUUA